UACGUAGGGAGCAAGCGUUGUCCGGAUUUACUGGGUGUAAAGGGUGCGCAGGCGGAUUAGUAAGUCAGGGGUGAAAUCUCACGGCUCAACCGUGAAAUUGCCUUUGAUACUGCUAAUCUUGAGUUCGGGAGAGGUCGAUGGAAUUCCAGGUGUAGCGGUGAAAUGCGUAGAUAUCUGGAAGAACACCAGUAGCGAAGGCAAUCCCCUGGGCCUGCACUGACGCUCAUGCACGAAAGCGUGGGGAGCAAACAGGAUUAGAAACCCU
rnacentral:rRNA from 1 species